rnacentral:rRNA from 1 species
UCUACGGGAGGCAGCAGUGGGGAAUAUUGGACAAUGGGCGAAAGCCUGAUCCAGCCAUGCCGCGUGUGUGAAGAAGGCCUUCGGGUUGUAAAGCACUUUCAGUGGGGAAGAAAGCCUUGGGGCUAAUACCCUCGAGGAAGGACAUCACCCACAGAAGAAGCACCGGCUAACUCCGUGCCAGCAGCCGCGGUAAUACGGAGGGUGCGAGCGUUAAUCGGAAUUACUGGGCGUAAAGCGCGCGUAGGCGGUCUGAUAAGCCGGUUGUGAAAGCCCCGGGCUCAACCUGGGAACGGCAUCCGGAACUGUCAGGCUAGAGUGCAGGAGAGGAAGGUAGAAUUCCCGGUGUAGCGGUGAAAUGCGUAGAGAUCGGGAGGAAUACCAGUGGCGAAGGCGGCCUUCUGGACUGACACUGACGCUGAGGUGCGAAAGCGUGGGUAGCAAACAGGAUUAGAUACCCUGGUAGUC